AACAACUCACCUGCCGAAUGAAUUAGCCCUGAAAAUGGAUGGCGCUUAAGCGGGUAGCCGACACCACGCCGUCUGAGCGAGAUAUUGUUUUCAGAUGAGUAGGAGGGCGUGGCGGGUGUGUCGAAGCAUGCGUGCAGACGCGUGUGGAACAGCCGCUAGUGCAGAUCUUGGUGGUAGUAGCAAAUAUUCAAGCGAGAUCCUUGAAGGGCGAAGCGGGGAAGGGUUCCACGCGAACAUUGAUUGGGCGUGGGUGAGUCGUACCUAAGCCGAGUGGCAAUUGCUAAGUAACGGCGAAAGGGAAGCAGGUUGAAAUUCCUGCACACGGAUGUGGAGGCGGCGACGCAUUUAAUUGAGGCGAUCACGUUGGCGGUGGCGCUGGGCAGAGUUGUCUUUUCUGUUUGACCGCGUUGUGUGUGUAGUGUGGAAUCCGCUUGUCGGGAGAAACACGCACGUACGGGCAGAGCGCCGGGGCUUUUCCGGCGUCCAGCUCGCCACCGACGACCCUUGAAACAUUGCCUACUGAAUGAAUUUUAUAAUUCUAAAAUCCACGCCGUGGCGUACCGAUCACCGCAUCAGGUCCCCAAGGUGAACAGCCUCUGCUCAGUAUGAAAAAU
rnacentral:rRNA from 1 species